CAAGGACAUUACCGCGGCUGCUGGCACGUAGUUAGCCGGGGCUUCUUAGUCAGGUACCGUCAUUUUCUUCCCUGCUGAUAGAGCUUUACAUACCGAAAUACUUCUUCACUCACGCGGCGUCGCUGCAUCAGGGUUUCCCCCAUUGUGCAAUAUUCCCCACUGCUGCCUCCCGUAGGAGUUUGGGCCGUGUCUCAGUCCCAAUGUGGCCGGUCACCCUCUCAGGUCGGCUACUGAUCGUCGGCUUGGUGGGCCGUUACCCCGCCAACUACCUAAUCAGACGCGGGUCCAUCCUGUACCACCGGAGUUUUUCACACCGGACCAUGCGGUCCUGUGCGCUUAUGCGGUAUUAGCAGUCAUUUCUAACUGUUGUCCCCCUGUACAGGGCAGGUUACCCACGCGUUACUCACCCGUCCGCCACUCAGUCAUCCCGGAUUCCAUCCGAAAACUUCCUCGGCAUGCUUCGUUCGACUUGCAUGUGUUAGGCACGCCGCCAGCGUUCAUCCUGACGCCAGGUA
rnacentral:rRNA from 1 species